rnacentral:rRNA from 1 species
UACGGAGGGUGCAAGCGUUAUCCGGAUUCACUGGGUUUAAAGGGUGCGUAGGUGGGCAGGUAAGUCAGUGGUGAAAUCUCCGGGCUUAACCCGGAAACUGCCAUUGAUACUAUCAGUCUUGAAUACCGUGGAGGUAAGCGGAAUAUGUCAUGUAGCGGUGAAAUGCUUAGAUAUGACAUAGAACAUCAAUUGCGAAGGCAGCUUACUACCCGAAUAUUGACACUGAGGCACGAAAGCGUGGGAUCAAACAGG